rnacentral:tRNA from 1 species
CGGGUGGCGAAAUUGGUAGACGCACGGGACUUAAAAUCCCGGGACCGUAAAAAGUCGUGUGGGUUCGAGUCCCACCACCGGCACCA